AAUCCUUCGUAUCCAUCCUUCCUUCCCCCCACCCCCUUGGAAUGGAGUAGUUUCAUCUCUGCUCCCCCCGUCUCCCCCACCCCAUCUGUUUGUUAUCCCCACUGGUCCUUCAGAAAGGAGAUUACUCCCCCCCCCAUUCCUUCCACUCCCCUCCCCCUCCCCCUCAGCCCCUCUCCCCAAAUACAAUCCCGACCUCUUUCCCCAGCCCUCCCCCCCCACCCCAGACGCCGUUCUCUAACUCUGACUCUAUAGAGUCCCCGGCUCCAGCCUGAGCAGAACCAGCUUCUUGGUCAUCUCCAUCCUCAUCCUCAGAGCCAACUGCUGGGCUGCUAUGGAGCUGAGACAGCCCCCCGGCUCGUGCCUGCAGUUUCUCGGCCCCCGGAGACUCAGCUGAUCCUGAUUUUUUGGGGGGUGGGUAUGGGUGUGUGAGAACUGGGGGUGAGGGGCAUUCUCCCUCCUUUUUCUGGUUGGGAUUUUGGGGGGGGAUAUUUUUCUCCCCCGGCUCCACUCUGACCUGGACCUCUCCAAAGCGUUCUCUUCCAUGAGAAGGGCUUCCUGCUCAGUGCCGACAUGGCCGAGGGUGUUCUGCCCGCUGCUGCCUGGAGCCCCAGCCCCCUGCCCCCCGGGCGCUCCGUGCCUGAUCUUGCCUCAGAGCCUGGAGUCACGGAGCAGCAGCCCCAGCCUCGGACCCCACCUUCCUCUCCGGCCCCGGAGCCCGGCCCCGGCACUGACCCUGACGUCCCACACCCCGAUCUGGCCCCCGUCGUCUUUUUUUGUCUCCGACAAACCACCAGCCCUCGAAACUGGUGCAUCAAGAUGGUGUGUAAUCCAUAUCCUUUGAGACUCUUUCCCUCAUGGCCACUGCCCAUCAAUCCACCCCGGCUUCCUCUCAACAGGUAGGAGGUGGACUCUCUGUGGUCUGGUCUCUGCUCUGGUUCUGGCUGCAGCCUCUUGGAGGGAAGGAGCCAUGGAGCAGGUGGGAGAGGUGAAAGGUCUGGAGUAGGGAGGAGGGGAAGGCACGAAGGGAAACAAUUUGGCUAUGGGGGACACAGGGUGGGGAAGGGCCCUGGAGGAGGUGGUGAUGCAAGAAAGAGACUUAGGAAUGGUUGGGGAGGAGGCUCUCUGAGAGAGAUUGAGUUUGAGGGGAUUCCUCUGGGAGGAACACUCUCUCCUUUGAGGUGGCCAUUGAAACCGGAGGGUGGACGUCCCGAAAGAGAAUCAGAGACUCCAAAGUUGAGAGUCUGGGAAACAGGAGAAGACUGAGGGGCAUUCCAUGGAAAAAGAGAAAUUGGGAAAGAGAAAGGAAGAAAAAGAUUAAUUUGGUUUUGAUGUAUUGAGUUUUAAAUGCUAAUAUAUAAUAUAAUAUA